GUCGGUGGUCAUGGCGGGGGGGAAACGCCCGGUCCCAUUCCGAACCCGGUGGCUAAGCCCCCCGGCGCCGAUGGUACUGCCGGCGAGGGCCGGUGGGAGAGCAGGACGCCGCCGACA
rnacentral:rRNA from 1 species